ensembl:processed_transcript
CAAGACAAGACCUUGGCUAGGAGUAUGCAGGCAAGCAAAGAUUAUGGAUCCCAUGAAUGAAAUUUGUUCUGUUCUUCUGUCUGGAGAAAAAUAUGAUUUGCAAUUGAAUUGUCACACUGUGUUUUAGAGAACAAAUCAUUAGAACCAGGUAGGGCAGGCACGGUGCCUACAGGAAAUUUCACAGCUAAUAAAGAAGGAGGGCAAAAUCAAAAGCCUUCCUGGGUUGUAAUGAUGUCACAGUUACAAGGUCCAGUAUCUCAGAAGAUCUGGAACUUUCUUGAUUUGUGUAUAUAAGACAGCCCCUAAAAAGACUCUGUAACAAUCUCUUUUGAUAUCCCAGUGUACUUAAAACCAGUUGAUUUACGGACAGAGAACUUUAAGCCCUGAAGAUACAAAUAUUGGUCAUAUCAUGGGUGUCCAACGCUGAAUUUACUCACUUCAAAGUACCUGCUCAUAAAGGCAUUUUCCCAGGCUUAAUUAACACCAUUAAGCCAAGCAAACAAACUCUUACUUUGAGAAGUUUCCAUCUCACAUCAGGCAAUGAGAAAGAGUAUUUUCAAUGCAUGCACACCUCUCCCUUCUGUUUGCAUGUCUUCUUUCAUGACUUCUACCUCUGAAAAAAACCUCCAGCCAUCCGCACAAGGCAAAGUGGACCAGUGUCUCGAGUGUCUAGGUCAAACAUCUUUUCCUCUAAAGCUUUCCCUGUGUUCUCAGUGAAUAGGCUCCUUUUGUUAAUUGUAAAAUAAAUUUAUGUUUUCUUUUAUGGAAUAUGGUCAUGUAUUAUACUGAAAAUGUUAAUCGUGAGAGAGUAACUGUUUCUUUGCAGACUGUUUCUGAAGAAGGUUAGCAUUCCAUUCACGGUACAAGAGUGUCUUUUAAUGAAUAGCUUGUCAUUUAGUAGCAGACACGUGAUUCAUCAGAGUGGUAACAACACCAACUGCUUUAAUUUUUCUUCAUCUAAGACCUGCCGUGAAGGAAAAUACAAGAUUUUAAAAAAUUAGAAUACCCUUAAAAAUAUAUAUUUAAAAUUUUAAAUGUUCACUUUUUAAACGUAAAAAAGAACCCUAAAACUUUACGCUGCUCACACUCUUGUGUUUGCUGGCCUCUCUGGAUUUGUGCUAAAGGUCUCCUAUUUCUAUCUGUCUACCAUCUACAUAAUGAACUACAGUGGGGCCAGCAUAUUAUAUCUCAUAUACCUUCUGUAGUAUCUUAGUUAAUGAAGAAAAGUUUUUAUUUUUCCCUUUUCCCUGGUUUGUUUCCAUCAACAAAGACUGAAAGGGCCAUUUCCUUAUUUCUGGGAGACCCCAUGUGAUCUCAUCUCAGAAGAGAGAAGCGUGUUCUCAGCUAUUUCUUGCUGUCUCUACUUCCCUAAAUGGUGGGUGCAGGACCUUGACAGGAGGUCGCAGCCAUUACUUUGCCAUUACCCGGGAAUGAAGAGAGAAUGAAAGUAUAACAAGAAUCAAAGAAGGAAAAAUCUAAUGACCUUCCUAGGAACCUCCCACAGUCCUCACACUGUGUGCGGGUGUCAUUUCAGUCAAGUGCCAUCUUAUUUCACAUGGCUCAGUGAUCAUUGCUGAAGAAGUGGAGGAAAGAGUGAGAGAGCCAGAGGAACAGCAAACUUUCUGUGAGACUGGGACUCCUAGAAACGUCAGAGAGAUUGUACCCAUAGCGUCUCAUCAACAUGGCUGCCUAAACAAGACCUGAGCAAUGACAACACCAAUGGCCAUACUAACAUGGAACUGGGGAAAAUAAGGAGGCUCAUUCUAGAGGAAGAGUUAUGGACAAUAGGGAAAUGAUGAGAACUGGAGACAUGGUUUUCCCUGGGGAAGAACUCCCCAAUUGUUACCUGCUACAAAGUGGUCAGCCCUGGCAUAAGAUGCAUGCAGUUGGGAGACAUGGAGAAUGCCUUUGCCUACAGAGCCACAGUGUAUAAUCUCCCGAAGAAGGCCUCUUUGCACCCUCAGUCAUGAUCACCACCAAGCCUGCCACCAUCAAGCCAACGACUAUUUCUGCAGGGACUAGCUAGAGCUCCCCCCACCCCAUGCCCAAGAUCCUGAGAACCCACAGUUCUGAGGAGCACCAAACCAGUGCACAGUCAUCCAGCCUCCGUUAAGUGGCCGUGCUCAGUAGUGGGACAGACUUGUGACUACACAACCCUACAUCCUUCAGCAUGUGAAAAGAUACGACUGUUUGGAAACACUCUUGCCAAAUGAACGCAUCAACUAAAUUCCAGAGGAGCAUUCAGGGGAGAAGAAUCUCCCAGUCUGCCAGUGCCUUCGCAUCCACAGGUCGACAUUUCUUGAACAUAAGAAAGCUAAAAGAGCAGAAUUUCUGAGCAUGAGAGCUUGACAAGGAGGGUUCUGACAAAGCCUCAUGUUUCAAAUCUAAUAUUCAAGAUUGUGUUUUUCUUUUUCUCAGCACAGUUUUGAAAAGGCAAGUGCUUUCUGGCUCUGCUGGAUAUUUGUGAAGACACAGAUCACAUGAGACCAUAAAGCUUUGUAAGCUUUAAAGCCUUGCUUCUCCUCAAAGUGUGGCAGUGGAACAACAGCACCUUCAUCUUUGAGGGGCUUGUUGAAAUUUUGGACCAUUUCCUUUAUCCCACAACCUGCCAGAUUGGAAAGGACAUUCUGACAAGCUGCCCAUGUGAUUCCAGUAGACACUGUUUAAAAGUGGUGCUGUAGAGUGCCGCUGUAACAGGAACUUGAGAGCUUAGCAUAACUGAUGUCACGAUGCAAGUACUGUUCUCUAAUGCUCCUGCAAUCUUUUAAUACCACCUCCAGUUGUAGGGACACCCAACCAUAAACUUAUUUCUGUUGCUACAUCAUAACUGUAAGUUUGCUACUGUUAUGGACUGUAUAAUAAGUAACUAAUAGGCAACAUAGUCUUAGGAAAUCCCCAUGCAAGGGUCAUUUGCCCCCACCAAGGGACCAUGACCCACAGAUUGUGAACUACGCAUUUAGACCCUAAAAGCUCAGCACAUAGACAGUACCACAGGCCACAACAAAGACAAAGGUCUGAUCCAUCAAAGUUAAUAGUUCCAGGACAGUCUCUAAAUGUACCACCUUUUGUUUUGUUUUGUUUUUUGUUUUGGCUUCUGUAGUUCUGCUUUUGGCUAACUGUUCUUACUAACACAAUUCAGGAGGUGGUUUCACUCUGAGAAGGGUUCAGGAUUAUACAAGAUCAUGAAUACCCAGUGUAGUCUCUAGCCAGCUGAUAAAGACCUUUUAUUUUUUUUUUUAAACCCAUGCCCAUGCAGUCUUCUCUGGUGGGCAACCCACGACAUUAGUUAGUACUUUCACACCUCUCCUAAGAGCUUUUAUUUUUAUUUAAUUUGACAUGCAAAGUAAUGUUUUUUAUUAUGAUAUUAUACAUAUAUAUAUAUACAUACAUAUAUGCAUAUAUGUCAUGACAUAUACAUGUAUACGUAUAUAACAAAUCAUUGUUCUUAUUUGUUUACCCCUUACUCCUCUACCCUUCUCCAACCUCUUCUUUUUGGUCUCCUUUCUCCUCCUAAAUAAACCUCCCUUCUGAUUUC